rnacentral:lncRNA from 1 species
AAGAUGUUGCUUGCGCAAAUCUAGCUAAAACUGCGUUUUGGGGCAAGCAAAGUGUGUGAGAGGGAGUGUGUGUCUGUUGGGGUUUAGGGCAAUAAAAAUACUGAAACCCCAUGUUAUUUUUCACCAAUCCCUUGUUAUUUUUCUCAUGACCUCAUUUAUUUGCUUGGCCUCAUUAUGUUAAAGACACAGUCACUGUAGACACAGUGGACAUAUACACAAGAAAGCCAAUCCCUCCCCUCCCCCUCCCCUUUCCUGAGCUCUACUCUCCUUCCUAUUUUUGGGCUUUCAAAAUAGGAGAAGAAAUACACACCAUCAAAUUCUUUUGAAAACUGAAAAAUAAAGAACCUCCCCCCAUGUUUUCAUGAUCCUAUGCACCCCCAAUGUCCUUUUUGACCUGUCUUCUUAACAAGAAGAUGCUACUUGUGAAAAUCCCACCUUUUUCUCUUAGUUCUUGUCCUUCUAUGAUGAUGGGGCUCCGCCGGUGGAGGUGGCUGCAAGGGCGGCAGCCAAAGAUGCUUUCUUUAGCUUUUGUGGGGUUGGCUGGAAAAGCUUGCCUUUUCAAGCCCACUCUUUGCGGCUUACUCUGUUCAUCCUCUGUUUCAUAGGCUGAUGAUUGUCACGACGCGGCGGUAAUGGUGGUGUGAUAUUGGCGGGACGGCUCAAUCUGUUCUUUCUUUGUUUUGUUUUGCUGGUUAAUGUAUACAGUAUGUUUUUGUUUUCACCCCAUGAUGUUUAUAUGGGGGGUGGAUAUAUAUGCCAAGGAUUUCCAAAAUUAACAAAUUUGUUAGUUAGUUGGGUCUUUUGUUCUAUUGAAGCUAAAUGCUAAUGGUUUUCUGUUUCUGCAAUUUAUUUAUUUUUAAGUUUAAUGGUAACCCCCUUUCAAGUAAACCUUGUAUCUUGAGGAAGAAAAGAGGGGGAAAUAGCAGCCCUCCUUUUAAUUAACCCUUCAAGUGAUUGAUGAGUUAAAAAACUGAAAUCUCCUUUUGCUGGUCUGUGGGCGUAAAUUUCGAUGUUCAUGUACGCAGGGUUCCCUAGAUCAAUGGGGUGUAUGUAUAUUUAUUUAUAUAUGUGGGUGGGAAUAGACAGGUCAAGUAUAUGAGG